AGUGAAUUCAUCCAAAACAUUUCUGAAUUGAAAAGUUAGUACUUUCUAAAUGUACUCAAAGGUUAGUUGUUCGCUUACCUUUAGUGACAUCUAGUGGUUAGAAAAAAUAUUUAGGUAAACAAGUGCAUCACACUACAUUUGCUUUAGGAUGUUAAAAUAUUUAAAUAAUCUCAUGGGGUGUCUUUGAUUGUUUCUGGCCUACAACUCCCAUAAUCCUCAACUAAGCUUGGCUUAGGGAGCUGUAAGUUCAUAGAGCACUAGGUGAGGUUUGGG